rnacentral:rRNA from 1 species
UUGCUCUUCAACGAGGAAUCCCUAGUAAGCGCAAGUCAUCAGCUUGCGUUGAUUACGUCCCUGCCCUUUGUACACACCGCCCGUCGCUACUACCGAUCGAAUGGCUCAGUGAGGCUUCCGGACUGGCCCAGAGAGGUCGGCAACGACCACUCAGGGCCGGAAAGCUAUCCAAACUCGGUCAUUUAGAGGAAGUAAAAGUCGUAACAAGGUCUCCGUUGGUGAACCAGCGGAGGGAUCAUUAUUAGAAGCCGAAAGGCUACUUAAAACCAUCGCGAACUCGUCCAAGUUGCUUCGGCGGCGCGGCCUCCCUCACGGGGGCGCCGCAGCCCCGCCUCUCCGGAGGUGUGGGGCGCCCGCCGGAGGUACGAAACUCUGUAUUAUAGUGGCAUCUCUGAGUAAAGAACAAAUAAGUUAAAACUUUCAACAACGGAUCUCUUGGUUCUGGCAUCGAUGAAGAACGCAGCGAAAUGCGAUAAGUAAUGUGAAUUGCAGAAUUCAGUGAAUCAUCGAAUCUUUGAACGCACAUUGCGCCCGCUAGUACUCUAGCGGGCAUGCCUGUUCGAGCGUCAUUUCAACCCUCAAGCCCUGCUUGGUGUUGGGGCCCUACGGCUGCCGUAGGCCCUGAAAGGAAGUGGCGGGCUCGCUACAACUCCGAGCGUAGUAAUUCAUUAUCUCGCUAGGGACGUUGCGGCGCGCUCCUGCCGUUAAAGACCAUCUUUAACUCAAGGUUGACCUCGGAUCAGGUAGGAAUACCCGCUGAACCUAAGCAUAUCAAUAAGCGGAGGA